ensembl:lncRNA
AUCAGGGUCACUUGGCCAAAAACCGCAGGUGCUUCCUGUAAGGAGCUGACUUUGGAGGCCUCGCUGAUCUUGGGUUGGAAAUAGGGAUCGAUCCCUAUUCAUUUCUACUAUUUCCUUAGCUGACACUCUUGAAAAACAACCGGUGACUCAGAGAAGCUCUUUUGAGUUCUCGAGCUGAAAAGUCCAGGGGCGGUCUUUGGAAAUAAGGAGACACCGGUUUGGUCCCUGGUCUGGGAAGAUCCCACAUGCCAAGGAGCAACUAAACCUGCACGCCACAACCACUGAGCCUGUGCGCUAGAGCCCGGGAACCCCAACCACUGAGCCUACUUGGCUGCAACUAGUGAAGCCCGAGCACCCGAGAGCCCGUGCUCUGCAGCAAGAGAAGUCACUUCAAUGAGAAGCCUGCACCCUGCACCUAGAGAGUAGCCCCCACUCGCCAUGACCAGAGAAAACCCACGCAUGGCAAGGAAGCGCAGCUAAAAAUAAAAAGAGAGAAGAGCAGUGUGGAUCACACACCAGCGACAUCAUCGUGUUCUGAUGGAUUCGGGGGAAAGCUGCUUGCAAGCUUCUCUGCAGGUGAACCACCUGAAUGGAAUUCUCUUUUCACUAUCUCAUCUGAUGCCGCCGACUGUGCUACAUUCAAGAGGAUCUGAUUCAGUGCAGUUGAGCUCCUAACAUCCCCCCGGACUUUGUUCCUCACCACGUACUGCCCCUCAUUGAGACCGCUUUAGUCACCAGUCCCCCCAGGCCAAGGGGCAGACUCUGGAGGCUUUCCUCGGAGGCCCGCCUGCUCCCCCUCACCCACGCCCCUCCCCUCGAC